rnacentral:piRNA from 1 species
GAAGCCCUGAGGGGAAAACCCGUGCUU